UUAAAUUUUCUUGCUUUCCCCCUCAUCAUGGGACUGGGAUGAUCUGACUAGUGGCUAUGAUUUCUCCUUGCUGGUGUACGAGAGGACAAAGAGUGAGGUCUUUUCCGAUUCCCUGGGAAACUCAAGCUCUCUCCGAGUGAAGAUUUAAAGAGGGAGAGCCACCGCCUAAAUGUAGCUUGAUGAUGGCCUGCGAAACAAAUGUGAGGAUGUAUACCUUGCGCCGGGUGCAGGAUUCUAUCAGGGCGAACCGGAGUGUAGAAGACCCUAAGACGGUGAAGCAGCUCUUAAACCAGGGCAGGGAUAACCUAGACAUCAACCAAAGACAGUGCCGCUGCAACAGAGUGCUAAUCACAGCUGAUGCCCUGCUGUUGGCUGCUUUGUCCCCAUAAUGCACUCCAACCUCCAAACCCAUUCCCAGGGGAUCAUGGCGAAGAAUGCAACCCUCUCUCUUAGGUAUAUCUCCAUCGGUCUGUCUUCUCUGUCUCGCUUUCUCUUUUUGCAUAUCAUUCACUCUUUCUCUACCUGUAACUUCCUUCAUACUGGACACAGAGACCUUAACAUGGUAUCCACGAGUUCAUCUGAUUCUGGGGAAGUAGAUGCCAAAAUCCCAAAGUAUCCCUUUAACCAUCAAGGUAGUUUCACUUUUGCUGUAGUUUGACUGACGGCUAACACACAUUAAAAUAUGCCGUUAGUAAAACGGCCACGUGGUCGAUAAUCUACACAGACGGGCUCACACGCCAUAAUUAAAAUGGCCAG